AACGAACGCUGGCGGCAUGCCUAACACAUGCAAGUCGAACGAACCCUUCGGGGUUAGUGGCGCACGGGUGCGUAACGCGUGGGGAUCUGCCCUUUGCUUCGGAAUAACAGUUAGAAAUGACUGCUAAUACCGGAUGAUGUCGAAAGACCAAAGAUUUGUCGGCAAAGGAUGAACCCGCGUAGGAUUAGCUAGUUGGUAGGGUAAAGGCCUACCAAGGCGACGAUCCUUAGCUGGUCUGAGAGGAUGAUCAGCCACACUGGGACUGAGACACGGCCCAGACUCCUACGGGAGGCAGCAGUGGGGAAUAUUGGACAAUGGGCGAAAGCCUGAUCCAGCAAUGCCGCGUGAGUGAUGAAGGCCUCGGUUGUAAGGUACUCUUUUACCUACGGGUAGUAGAUAAUAGACAGUACCU
rnacentral:rRNA from 1 species